UGGGGAAUCUUGCGCAAUGGGCGAAAGCCUGACGCAGCAACGCCGCGUGGGGGACGAAGGCUCUCGGGUUGUAAACCCCUUUCAGCAGGAACGAAAUUGACGGUACCUGCAGAAGAAGCCCCGGCCAACUACGUGCCAGCAGCCGCGGUAAUACGUAGGGGGCGAGCGUUGUCCGGAUUCAUUGGGCGUAAAGAGCUCGUAGGCGGUUUCGUAAGUCGGGUGUGAAAACCCCAGGCUCAACCUGGGGACGCCACCUGAUACUGCGAUGACUUGAGUCUGGUAGGGGACCACGGAAUUCCUGGUGUAGCGGUGAAAUGCGCAGAUAUCAGGAGGAACACCGGUGGCGAAGGCGGUGGUCUGGGCCAGUACUGACGCUGAGGAGCGAAAGCGUGGGUAGCAAACAGG
rnacentral:rRNA from 1 species